UGGGGGAUAUUGCACAAUGGGCGAAAGCCUGAUGCAGCGACGCCGCGUGGGGGAUGAAGGCUUUCGGGUUGUAAACCUCUUUCGCUAUCGAACAAGGCCCGCUUAGGUGGGUUGAGGGUAGGUGGAGAAGAAGCGCCGGCUAACUACGUGCCAGCAGCCGCGGUAAUACGUAGGGCGCGAGCGUUGUCCGGAAUUAUUGGGCGUAAAGGGCUUGUAGGCGGCUUGUUGCGCCUGCUGUGAAAACGCGGGGCUUAACUUCGCGCGUGCAGUGGGUACGGGCAGGCUUGAGUGUGGUAGGGGUGACUGGAAUUCCAGGUGUAGCGGUGGAAUGCGCAGAUAUCUGGAGGAACACCGAUGGCGAAGGCAGGUCACUGGGCCAUUACUGACGCUGAGGAGCGAAAGCAUGGGUAGCGAACAGG
rnacentral:rRNA from 1 species